ACCACUAUUGCGUACCAGAGUUUCUAAUAAAAUACAGUCGAACAGGUAUUUAGCGGCAACUGAUAAAGUAGUCGCCACAAAAGAUCAUUUGACGCGAUCAGGUCGCUACUAAAAGUAGACCUUCUAGUGGCAAUCUUUAGGUCGCCUCUAAUUCUUUUGUUUUGAUAUGUAAAUGUACAUUAAAGUUUAUAGGUUUAGUUCCCAAAUCUUAUUUCCCCCAAAAUUCCAUUCGGCCUUUCCCCAGCAAACCCGAUAUCCUCUCCCCAAAAUUCCUCCACAACAUCGCUUCUCUAUUAAGUUCCAUGGGCGAUUUUCCUUCUCCCUUCAAGCGUCUCUUUUUCUCUCUCUUAUCUUUCUCCUCCAUAUUUUUUGCUCUUAUCUAACCUAAAUCUACCCGAGCCCUAGUGAAUCAACUCAAUGUGAAGAGAAUUGUAAGAAAAGCAUACAGAUUUUCUGCUCUCUACCUUAAGGCCUUCAAUCGUUAGAUUCUGAGCAAAUGGAUUCGAGGGAUGAUUAUUGGGAAUAUUAGGUUUCGGCGACUGAUGCAGAGCUCUUUAAGCGAGCAUGGCGGAAUCAAAAGGCUGCUCGGCUGGAUUGGUUCAGAGAUCUAGAGAAUAGAUUCAAUUAAUGGAAGAAGGUUCUUAAACAACCACAAAUGGCGUUGACCAAGGAAGAGUUUGAAGACACUUAAAUUUUAUUUUUCCUUUUUGUCGUAUGUAUAUGUGUACAAUGACAAUGAGCAAUGUAGUAUUGUGUGGUAUAUAUUUAACUCACUUUGUGAUAAUGAAAGCAUUUAUAAUAUUUGACUUGUUGAAUAAUUU